GAAGGUUAUGUAUUAGAAUUCAUGUUUUGAAAGACUCCAAGAAUAUAAGGAGUAUUCCAUUUUUAUGAGGCAACACAACUUCAUAUUAUACAAGCAAACAAUAACAGUGUGCCUCCCAGAGUAGUUAUGGACUCAAAUACAAAUGUAUUUUCUGCACGGCCCAUAGAACAAACAGUAAAACACCUAGAAAUAUUUAAAAGUCGGUAGACAUCCUGCCCAUGACAAAUCAAUACAUAUACAAUUCAUGUGAAUUACAGAUAUUAUAUUUAGACGUAUAUUUUGCUGACUCUGUGUACAUUAACCUCUUAUUUAUUGGUUUGGCAGUAGAACUAUAUGGCGGCUGGAGGUAUUGCUGAGAAACUGAAUCCUAUGAGUUUCUGACAAAUCUCUCACCCUAGCCUAGUUUUAGGUCCUGCAUAAUAAGAAAUUGCUUCUUGAGAAAUGAAGAACCAUUCAUUGGCAAACCAGUAUCUUCGGGAGGAAAAAAGCCCUCUCUACCAGCCAGUGGAAAAUAUGAUUCUGGUCAGGAGCUGUACACAAAAGGAAAAAGAUGAGCCACACUCCCAAAAGCUUACAAUGUUGACUUGAUAUGAGACAACAAGAUGAAACAAUCAGAGGUUGAGUGAGAAAGAAAAGCACAUCAAAAUGAGAUGGCUUUUUCCUGGACUGCCUACUUAUUUUCUAUCCUUUACUAAGUUAUAUCCAUUUCUGAAGAUCUCCCAAGAAUAACUCUGGUUCCUCAAACGUCAACAAAAAUCAGAGCCAUCAAUUUAAUCUGAUUUUCUCCCAUAAUUUCACAAAGAAUGCUUCCAAGUUUGUCCAUCAUCACAGAGGCCAAAAAGUGUAAUAUAAAGAGAGGAACUGCAGAAUGAGUUAGAUUUCAGAAGGUACUUAGGUCUUAUCCAUAUAAGAGCUUUUUUUCAGUAUAUGUUUAGUUUGUGCAGCCUAAACUGCUUUGCCUCCACACUCAAAUUCUUCUUUUUAAUCUUUCUAUUAUUUUCUUAUGAUGAAUCAUUUUGAAAGUGGCAUAAUUACUUUGGAAUGAGUUAUACCUCUAUGAAGAUUAAAUGAACAUAACCCCUUAAAAAUACAUUAGUUUAGCUAGUCUCCAAUUGCUGUCCCACACUGCAUUUCUUCAGAUCUGGAUUAACUUCAUUGGCAAACUUUUUGGUGUCCAUUACCCUAGGGUCAUCAUGGUUAGAUCAACCCACACUCCUGUUUAAAUUCUGGAACACAUCCAAGGAGAGUCAGGGCAGGUUCACAGGUCCAGAUACAUUAUAAACACUAUGCCACAUA